rnacentral:rRNA from 1 species
UACGGAGGAUGCGAGCGUUAUCCGGAUUUAUUGGGUUUAAAGGGUGCGUAGGCGGUCCGUUAAGUCAGCGGUAAAAUUGCGGGGCUCAACCCCGUCGAGCCGUUGAAACUGGCAGACUUGAGUUGGCGAGAAGUACGCGGAAUGCGCGGUGUAGCGGUGAAAUGCAUAGAUAUCGCGCAGAACUCCGAUUGCGAAGGCAGCGUACCGGCGCCAGACUGACGCUGAGGCACGAAAGCGUGGGGGUCGAACAGG